UUGUGCCUUCGUUACAGUUAAGAAAUCAUGGUUGAGGGAGUUCCCGUCAUGGCUCACGGAAAUGAGUCCGACUAGGAUCUGUGAGGACAAAGGUUCGAUCCCUGGCCUUGCUCAGUGGGUUAAGGAUCUGGCGUUGCCAUGAACUGUGGUGUGGGUUGCAGACUUGGCUCCGAUCUGGCAUUGCUGUGGCUGUGGCAUAGGCUGGCAGCUAUAGCUCCAAUUAGACCCCUAGCCUGGGAACCUUCAUAUGCCAUGGGUUUGGCCCUAAAAAGACCAAAAAAAAAAAAAAAAAAAAGAACACAAUGUACCAAAACUUAUGCCACCAGUAAAAGCAGUUCUAAAAGGGAAAGUUAUAGCAGAUAAAUGUCUGUACUAAGAAAAAAGAGAUCUUAAAUGAACACCUUAUCUUCAAACCUUAAAGACUAGAAAAAGAACAAACUAAGCACAAUGUUAGCAGAAGGAAGGAAUCAAUAAAGAUUAAAGUGGAUAUACAGACUACAAAAACACUAGAAAAGAUCAAAAUUCAGAGAUGUGGGGAGUUCCUGUUGUGGCUCAGCAGCAAUGAAUUCGACUAGUAUCCAUGAGGAUGCGGGUUCAAUCCCUGGCCUUGCUCCGUGAGGUAAGGAUCCAGCAUUGCCAUGGUCUGUCCGUGGAAAGGGCAGAGCUGCCUCUGGGGGACAAAAGAUAAGAUAGAGACCUGGACACCGGGAUGAGGGCCUUACCCAGGGAGGCCGUAAGUGCCAAGUUCUCCAGCAUCACAAUGUGGUACAGGCGCCUCUGAGCCUCAUCAAGGAGCCCCCACUCCUCCUGUGAGAAGUAAAUGGCCAUAUCCUCAAAGGUCACACAACUCUGCCAUGGUGGGGACAGAUCAUUCCAUUAUCAACUCUCCUAGGACCCCAAGUUCCUUCACCCAGACAUCCAUCUCCAGCCCACCCUCCUCCCAGUGUCCCCACCUUAGAGGAAAUAUCAGGCCUUGGGGCCAGAGAUACCAGUUCUCAUGGUAUCAAGAUCAUGGAAUUCCCAGGAGUUCCCGUUGUGGCGCAGCGGAUAUGAGUCUGACUAGUAUCCAUGAGGAUGUGGGUUCAAUCCCUGGCCUUGCUUAGUGGGUGAAGAAUCCAGCAUUGCUGUGAGCCUGUGGUGUAGGUAAGAUGUGGCUUGGAUCCCACAAUGCUGUGGCUGUGGUGUAGGCUAGCAGCUGUAGCUCUAAUUCGACCCCUAGCCUGGAAACUUCCAUAUCCUGAAGGUGUAGCACCCCCCCCCCAAAAAAAAGGUCAUGGAGUACCUGUGUGUUAAGAAUCCGACUGCAGCGAGCGGCUCUGGCCACUGCAGAGAUGCAGGUUCGAUUUUGGACCAGCAUACUGGGUUGAAGGAUCUGAUAUUGCUGUGGCUCGGCGUCAGUCCCUGGCCCAGGAACUUCCAUGUGCUGCAGGUGCGACCCACAAAAAAGACCGGCCCACAGGAACAACACGCAUGUGGGCAGGCACAUGCCAUCUAAGCUCUGAGCCUGGUGUCAGAGCACAUGACCUCUUGUCAGGUAAUUCGCCUGGAGUACCACAUCGCGCCUCCAAGAGACAAACAAAUGCGGGCCCUCCUUUCACCCCUGUGUCCUCAGUGUCCUGGCCCCUCUCAGUUGAUGCUUUCAGUCCAUGCUCCUCUUUCUACCACACCUCUC
rnacentral:lncRNA from 1 species